AACGCUGGCGGCGUGCCUAACACAUGCAAGUCGAGCGGGGUCCAUCCGGUAGCAAUACCGGGGAAGACCUAGCGGCGAACGGGUGAGUAACACGUGAGAAACCUGCCCCGAAGUCUGGGAUAACCCGAGGAAACUCGAGCUAAUACCGGAUGUCUUCUUCUGAUCGCAUGGUCGGAUGAAGAAAGAUUUAUCGCUUCGGGAGGGUCUCGCGGCCUAUCAGCUAGUUGGCGGGGUAACGGCCCACCAAGGCGUCGACGGGUAGCUGGUCUGAGAGGACGAUCAGCCACACUGGGACUGAGACACGGCCCAGACUCCUACGGGAGGCAGCAGUGGGGAAUAUUGCGCAAUGGGCGAAAGCCUGACGCAGCAACGCCGCGUGCGGGAUGAAGGCCUUCGGGUUGUAAACCGCUUUCAGUGGGGACGAAUUCAGACGGUACCCACAGAAGAAGCCCCGGCCAACUACGUG
rnacentral:rRNA from 1 species